AGUCUGUACCUGUACAAACCUGCAGGUUAAUGUUAAAUUUUAAUCCGAUCAGUGGAAUGAUGUGAAAAUUUGGCUGCAUACUUUUCAAUCAAUAAUAGGGUAAAAGUAGAUGAGGAUAAAAAGCCCAUCACAUGUACAUAGAAUAAUGCAUGUUACUGCGUCUACGUUCCACUGAAGCAGACAAUGACAAGGUGAAGGUCCAUGGUGAAAAUUACAAAUUAAGCAGAUCUAGGAUUCGUUAGUCAAUUACUAAAAUACGAGACCUUACAGACCACUUUUUUUUUUCCAAGUGUCUGUUAUCAUU
rnacentral:misc_RNA from 1 species